AGUGAACGCUGGCGGUAGGCCUAACACAUGCAAGUCGAACGGCAGCACAGUAAGCGCUUGCUCUUACGGGUGGCGAGUGGCGGACGGGUGAGGCAUACAUCGGAAUCUACUUUUUCGUGGGGGAUAACGUAGGGAAACUUACGCUAAUACCGCAUACGACCUACGGGUGAAAGCAGGAGAUCUUCGGACCUUGCGCGAUUGAAUGAGCCGAUGUCGGAUUAGCUAGUUGGCGGGGUAAAGGCCCACCAAGGCGACGAUCCGUAGCUGGUCUGAGAGGAUGAUCAGCCACACUGGAACUGAGACACGGUCCAGACUCCUACGGGAGGCAGCAGUGGGGAAUAUUGGGCAAUGGGCGCAAGCCUGAUGGAGCAAUACCGCGUGAGUGAAGAAGGUCUUCGGGUUGUAAAGCCCUGUUGUUGGGAAAGAAAAGAAGUAGAUUAAUACACCGCUGUUUUGACGGUACCUAAAGAAUAAGCACCGGCUAACUACGUG
rnacentral:rRNA from 1 species